rnacentral:lncRNA from 1 species
CCUCAGGUUCUUGACAAUCUUCUCUCUGCUUGAUGUUUACUUCUACUAUGUACUUCUGUAUGUGUCUGUCUUCAUUUGUCUUUCCUCAAAUACCACAUUUCUCAGUGAGUCAGAUUCUGACCACACCAUUUAUAAUUUCUAACAGUCUAAUGAGGCAAUCCCUGUCUCUCUUUAUUCCCUGUUUUAUUUUUUUCUCCAUGUACUUAUUGCUAUCCAUGCAAUAUUACAUAUAUUAUUUUGGGUCUGUUUUCUCUAGAGCAUAUGUAGUUUAACAAGGAUUUUGUCUUUUUUGUUACCGUUACAUCCUCAGAGCCAAGUACUGUAUGAUACAUGCAUGUUUUUUGAUGAUUAGAUCCAUGUGUGCAAUAUCAUCUCACAUAAACAUACACAUAUACAUAUAUACACACUGCUGGGGAAAUACAAAUAAAAACUAAGUCUCCUGCCAACUAAGGAAACCUCUUCACAAAAAUAAAAAAAGAAAGGAAAUAGUUUUAUUAUUGAAUAAACAGUAAACCAGAAUGUGAAGCUAAGAGAUUGCCAAGAUAGAAAUACAUCUCUCCCUUUUAUACAGGCAGGCAGAUACAGCCCGUUACAUACAUGUUCUCAGCAUAAACUUAACUAGUGCUUAAGUUAACAGUACUUGACAGCACCAUUUGUCACAUAUAGUUUGUCUUAGAUGCACCUGGUCAUUCAGGAGGCCAUCUGCACUUGCUAACUGGAUUUACGCACAGGAAAAAUAAAUUUCUCAUAUAUUUAUGACAGGAGAAGUGUUGCAACUUGAGGAGAGUGCCUGCAGAACUUAGGCCCCUGCCUGUCACAGGAACUGGGAGAUAGGGGCACUAUCAUCUUGAUGGUGACAUUUCAGAGAUGGUUUUCAAGUCCUUAAGAAAGAGACAGAGAAAGAACUUAGAAUUAUUAAGUUUCUAAAGUAAAUUCUCUAGCAAAUGGGAGGAGGGAGGUCUCUCCCUUUAUUUCCAACAAGAAAAAUUAAGCCUCCUAUUUUUAAUUUGUAUUUGCUCUUACAGUCUGUCAUAUCUAUCUAUCUAUCUAUCUAUCUAUCUAUCUAUCUAUCUAUCUAUCCAUCCAUCCAUCUAUGUAUCAUUUAUCGUUUAUCUUUCUUUCCUUCUGGUGAAUCCACUAAAAGUCUUAAGAGCUUUCUAUUUAUUUACUUAUGUCUUGAAGGUUUGCCUUAGUGUCUUGGGCAAAAGAUUUAAUUUUCAU